rnacentral:rRNA from 1 species
UACGAGGGGGGCGAGCGUUGUUCGGAAUUAUUGGGCGUAAAGGGCGCGUAGGCGGUCGGAUAAGUCUUGUGUGAAAUCUUCGGGCUCAACUCGAAGUCUGCACAGGAAACUAUCUGGCUUGAGUGUGGGAGAGGUGAGUGGAAUUCCUGGUGUAGCGGUGAAAUGCGUAGAUAUCAGGAGGAACACCUGUGGCGAAGGCGGGUCUCUGGGCCGAUACUGACGCUGAGGAGCGAAAGCGUGGGGAGCGAACAGG